CGCCCGCCGCGCGCGGCGGGCCUACGGGAGGCAGCAGUGGGGAAUAUUGCACAAUGGGCGCAAGCCUGAUGCAGCCAUGCCGCGUGUAUGAAGAAGGCCUUCGGGUUGUAAAGUACUUUCAGCGGGGAGGAAGGUGUUGUGGUUAAUACCCACAUCAAUUGACGUUACCCGCAGAAGAAGCACCGGCUAACUCCGUGCCAGCAGCCGCGGUAAUA
rnacentral:rRNA from 1 species